rnacentral:rRNA from 1 species
GACAGAGGGGGCUAGCGUUGUUCGGAAUUACUGGGCGUAAAGCGCACGUAGGCGGCUUUGCAAGUUAGAGGUGAAAGCCCGGGGCUCAACUCCGGAAUUGCCUUUAAAACUGCAUCGCUAGAAUUGUGGAGAGGUAAGUGGAAUUCCGAGUGUAGAGGUGAAAUUCGUAGAUAUUCGGAAGAACACCAGUGGCGAAGGCGGCUCACUGGACAUGUAUUGACGCUGAGGUACGAAAGCGUGGGGAGCAAACAGG